GUUGAAACCUUUCAUGAAAUAUGGUAGAAAGAAUGGAUACAACCCAACCAAAAACACAAAACAUUGAAUAAAAACAGCUGAAACCAUUUGAUAACUCAUUGUCAUUGCCAUAAUCGCUUCACCUUAAAAACAGCUUAUUGAUGUGUUGUUCCCGCCGCUCUGCCACUGCCCUCUCCACCGUACGCACAACAACAUCAUCAAAUUAGAACGGGAAAUGAAGAAAUAAACAAAACAAGAAUGGAGCAGAGGGAACUCCUUAUCAUGAUGGCCUUUUAUUUUUUGUGAAUUGUGUUUUUAAUUAUUAUCAUAAUAAUUGUGAUUACAAGCAGUCAAAACAACCGUAAAAGUCACACAUCCGGCCAUUCUAUUAGACAUCUCAAAAACUUCUUCAAACCUACCAUGCAUUCCAUAACCUCCCAUCAUCGUCGACCAAGUAAUCUCAUUCCUUUCACACAUUCCAUCAAACACUUUACGUGCAAAAACUAAACACCCACAUUUAGCAUACAUAUGUAUCAAAGCAUUCAAAUUUCUCAAAUCCAAAACAAACCCCAUUUACCAAAACAGCAUUCAAAUUUGAUUGUGCGUGCGUCGUGAACUGUUUUGAGGUUUUUUAAGUGUUUUGUGGAAUAACAUGUGUUAAGAAGUGUUGCGUAGAAUGGUAUGAGUUCAUGCGCUUUUGCCAUGAUCUUAAUUAACACCACUCACUGCGCUCAGCUAGCUUUGGCGUUUUCCUCUCUGUUUGUUGCAUUGCACACAUAAUUUGGCGUAUCUUGUUUCCAAAGUCUGUUGUACUGUCCUUAAGUCAUUAAUACAGGGUGUUGCAGUUUGGAUGCUAACAAGUAUCUUGCUGCAAGGUCUUAGAUACUUGCCAAUCAAUGUCAAAAUUCAGGGUUCCAUUCAAAUCUAUGGUUGUCACUUGUCACUGGUAGCUUUGGACAAAAAGCUCAAUAAGAUAGUUUAAAGAAUGGCACUGUUGUCUUAAUAGCGCAUCUGUCCGUUUUUUGUUAUUUCAUACUACACCUUCUAUUUAAGGGUACAUUUCACAGAAUGUUUUAGCAAAACUGAGUUUGUUGUUGCAUGAUAAAUGAGUAACAAACCUGUCAAUUUUUCUUCAUUAGUCUAGGUGUGGCUAUAUUUAAGAUCAAUGAAUGAUAUUUUUUUUCUUUCGUUUUUCUGAUAGACAGUUUGUAUGUAAUGUAAGUUGUACUAUCAUUUGUCUAAGGUAAGCUAA